GUUAAUAUAGUUUAAUAAAAACAUUAGGUUGUGGUCCUAAAAAUAGAAG
rnacentral:tRNA from 1 species